rnacentral:rRNA from 1 species
UACGGAGGGUGCGAGCGUUGUCCGGAAUCAUUGGGCGUAAAGAGCGUGUAGGCGGCCAUACAGGUCCGUUGUGAAAACUCGAGGCUUAACCUCGAGACGUCGAUGGAAACCGUAUGGCUAGAGUCCGGAAGAGGAGAGUGGAAUUCCUGGUGUAGCGGUGAAAUGCGCAGAUAUCAGGAAGAACACCCGUGGCGAAGGCGGCUCUCUGGGACGGUACUGACGCUGAGACGCGAAAGCGUGGGGAGCGAACAGG